AAACAUUUUGUCUGCCGCUCCUCCCGCUCUAGGACGUCACACCACCACCAUUGCAGCGUCGACAUGGCCAAUUUUCCUUCGCCAGUGUGGGUGCGGCGCUACGUGCUCAACUUCAAUGCCGUGGCGCUGGUGCUGCUAGCGGUGCAGAACGCCGGGUAUCUAGUCCUGAUAAGCUAUUCGCAGCAGCAGGGAAAAGAGUACCCGCUGGCUGCUGGCGGUGCAGAACCGGAAGAAGAGGAGGUGCGUACGGUCACCUUCAAGGCUUCGCACUUUCUCGCGACGACUGAAUUGGUGAAGCUUUUUCUCUCUCUCCUGUGGUGCGUCGUGGACGAAGCUUGGGCAAUGCAGCAGGAGCGCUGUUCUGCCGACACACUCACGACACCAACGGCGGCGUUGCUAGCUGAGGGUUCCGGGCGGAGCAAUGUCGCAGCAUUUGCCCAGACACCCAACUCCGUCGCGGAUGCCUCGUGCCAUCUCUCCCGCAAUCUCGACGACGUCGCAGACGACAUGGACGCUGAAUCUCUCGAUCACACUGUGCGGCUGCGGGUUCUCUUUGCCCGAAAGAGGUUCGCUGCCGUAUUUCUGAGCCGCAUGCGCCAUGCCAUCGGGCUGGACCACAAGUACAAAGAGACGCUGCUCAUGAUUGUGCCCGCCAUCGUCUACGCUAUCCAGGGGCUGCUGCUCAUCUACUCCCUCAAGCUGUUGGACCCAACCGUGUUUCAGGUCCUGUACCAGGUGCGCAUCCUCUUCCUGGCAGUCAUGAUGCGGGUCGUGCUGGACUUCCGUCUCUCGCCCAUCCGGUGGGGCGCACUGGUGGCGCUGAUGUUUGGCAUCACGCUGGCACAGAUGGGCGCGCAGAGCACGCGAGCGGAUAUGACAACCAGUAAGGCAGAUGACGCUGCACGAUCAGAGAUGGAGAACGCUGCGGCGACCGAAAAGACCUCCAGCACGUGGUCAAUGGAGGGUACACUGGCUGCGCUCGCUGGCGGCUUCCUGAGCGCGUUCUCCGGUGUGUUCAUGGAGUUCGUGGUGAAGAAGCGCGGCAACCAGUUCCACCUGUCGGCGCGCAACACCCAUCUCGCGUUCUUCUCGGUCGUGUACUUCUUUAUUGUGUUCUUGUGCGAGAUCUUCCAGCCGGAAGAGGGGGCGGGCGGGCUUGAUGAGUUCACAAGCACGUUCUUCGACGGCUUCACCAGGCUGGUGUGGUUUCUGGUGGUUCUGCAGGCGAUUGGCGGGAUCCUCGUGGCUCUGGUGGUGCGCUACUGCGACAACAUCGUGAAGUCGUUCUCGACGGCGUUCGCGAUUGUGCUGAGCGGCACGGCGUCCGUGUUUCUGUUCCACACGCCGCUGAACGGGACGUUUCUGCUGGGCUCCUUCCUUGUGCUCACCUCCAUCACCAUGUACACCGCGAAGAAGUAACGACUCUUCGAGCUGGGCGACAGGUGGGCGAGAUGAGAUGCAUCAACGUUUCUCAGUGAUCGGCAGCCCUUUCUGGCAUGUGUCUAUGCAGCCUAUGGGUUCUUGUGUGCAUGCGGAAAGCUUCGUCGCUCUCGGUGGAGUACGCGCACCCCUCAGCGCGCAGCAUUCUCAGUGUCCAGUGCCCCACUCACACUGUCUGCGGAGAAGCCAGGCAAGCCCCCUACCGAUGCUGAGCGACUUCUGGUGGCAAAAGCCUCAUCCGCCUACGGGGCAGAGGGAGGUGAGUGCGAUGUUGUAUCGCUGCUGAUGCGCGCGGUCAGGCCCUGUAGAGGGGGGAGGGGGCGGUGCUGCGUCGGAGCGUCCUGCUACAGCGCACACGCUGGUGCCAUCUGUGUGUUGGGCAGUUUGUGUGCGUGACUCGAGUGUAUCUCGCCUGGACCUCACCGCCCAUUGGUGGGGAGGCCGAGUGUCAUCCCGAGGAACAUAGCAGGCGGCCGCCUGCGGACCGGGUAUGGGGGUGGGUAGGCCUUGAGGCAGGGGCCGUGCUCCGGUGACUGAGCUGGCGCACAUUGCUGUAGCACGUGUGUGUGUGUGUGUACUGCUGCCUCGCGCGACGCCGGUGAUGGGUGUUAGGGCCUGUGGCAGGGCUGUUCGGUGGAGGGCUGGCAUUGCUGGAGUGUAGCUUCAGGCACUGUGACGGAAUGGUUGCGUUGAAGAAGAGCCAAAGUAGGCUCACAGACCGAAACCUUCGACAGGCGUUUGCUGCGCACCUGUUACGGAGGGUGAGUGCGGCUGCGGGUGGCGUGUGUACAGGCGUGUCUGCGCAGCGUCCUGCAGGGCAACUGUGCGUUCUUGGUAGGUGGAAGGUGAUACUGUAAGAGGGUACUGAAAGGCACAGUGCCUGGACACGGAUUUUUGCUCCCUGCGUCAGGGUUGUCGUUGGACCCCCCUCCUCACCCCGCAUCUGCAUGGGGAGGGGGCCGCACAGUUUCCUUGUCGAUUUGGAGAGGUGUUUCCGUGGUGCAGCGAUAUAUGCCUGCCUGCUUGCUUGCUUGCUUUCUUGUUCUCCCUUGGCUUGGUGUUUCUUCUACCCCUUCUUAUGUUUAAGUGUUUCACCUUGUCUUUUUUCUUGCCGGUGUGCUUCGCGGGCGCGUCCGCUGCAUGACCCACAUUCCCUUCCCUGUCGUUUACCUUCCCUUCCUUCAUUUAUUUCUUUGUGUUUUUUUUUUCAGCGAGUGAACUCCAUGCAGCUCGCCUCGCCUGCCUCUCGUCUCUCUCUCCUGUGUGCAUACAGGCAACAGGGGCGGCGGCGGCGGCGGAAGAGGCCCCGGCGUACCGCGCGCGUCUCCUCGAGGGGAGGCAAAUCGUGUCAAACAGGAGUGCAGGAGAGAGCAAGCGGAAGUCGCUUGACAAUUUCAGCGUAGGUCGACAGACAACGUGCCCUCUGUUGCGCGCUCUCGAUGCGCGGCCUGUGCUGUCAGUCUAUGCGUGCGUGAAGAGGGCAAUGCGCCGCGUUAAGUAUUAAGGGAAGACGAGUAGAGGUGCUAGAAGAGGUUCUUCAUCUUGUUGUUUUCUGAGGCAGGUUCGCCAUGGACGGUUUCCUCCACUCCCCAUCGGUACAACUGCACUCGGCACUCUCAAACUCUCACUGCUCCUGCGUCACAUUGGUAUCUAUACACAG
rnacentral:misc_RNA from 1 species